GCGACCCUAGCUCAGUUGGUAGAGCACGUGACUGAAAAUCACGGUGUCCCCAGUUCGAUUCUGGGGGGUCGCACCA
rnacentral:tRNA from 1 species